UGCAGUCGAGCGGGGGAGGUUGCUUCGGUAACUGACCUAGCGGCGGACGGGUGAGUAAUGCUUAGGAAUCUGCCUAUUAGUGGGGGACAACAUCUCGAAAGGGAUGCUAAUACCGCAUACGUCCUACGGGAGAAAGCAGGGGACCUUCGGGCCUUGCGCUAAUAGAUGAGCCUAAGUCGGAUUAGCUAGUUGGUGGGGUAAAGGCCUACCAAGGCGACGAUCUGUAGCGGGUCUGAGAGGAUGAUCCGCCACACUGGGACUGAGACACGGCCCAGACUCCUACGGGAGGCAGCAGUGGGGAAUAUUGGACAAUGGGGGGAACCCUGAUCCAGCCAUGCCGCGUGUGUGAAGAAGGCCUUUUGGUUGUAAAGCACUUUAAGCGAGGAGGAGGCUACUGGUAUUAAUACUACCGGAUAGUGGACGUUACUCGCAGAAUAAGCACCGGCUAACUCUGUGCCAGCAGCCGCGGUAAUACAGAGGGUGCGAGCGUUAAUCGGAUUUACUGGGCGUAAAGCGUGCGUAGGCGGCUUUUUAACUCGGAUGUGAAAUCCCUGAGCUUAACUUAGGAAUUGCUUUCCAUACUGGGAGGCUAAAGUAUGGGAGAGGAAUGGUAAAAAUUUCCGGUGUACCGGUGAAAUGCGUAAAGAUCUUGAAUA
rnacentral:rRNA from 1 species